UACAGAGGGGGCAAGCGUUGUUCGGAAUUACUGGGCGUAAAGCGUGCGUAGGUGGUUCGUUAAGUCUGAUGUGAAAGCCCUGGGCUCAACCUGGGAAUGGCAUUGGAAACUGGCGACCUAGAGUGCGGUAGAGGGUAGUGGAAUUCCCGGUGUAGCAGUGAAAUGCGUAGAGAUCGGGAGGAACAUCCGUGGCGAAGGCGACUACCUGGACCAGCACUGACACUGAGGCACGAAAGCGUGGGGAGCAAACAGG
rnacentral:rRNA from 1 species